AAUUGAGAAAAUCUGAUUCACACUAUAAAAUCAAAGGGAAGCUGUUAAGUAUGUGAAGCUGGUAAGUAAUUGGGCUAAAUAAGAAUUUUCCCCAGGUGAAAAUGGGGACCCGAACUGAAAAUGGAGGAAACCCACCUCCUGAGUCUUUGGUGAAAGAGUGAAGCUAUAUUCCAGACUACGACUUUAUGACCUUUCUAUCACUUGGUAAGGAGUGAUCCCAAAAAGUGGUGUGAUCCUUGCAAGUGAGUAAGAUGCCUGCCUUCCUGGAGGCCCGGAGAAAUUGAGGGAGGGAAAGCGUCCUUCAAGAUGCGGAAUCACGCAAGGCAGUGGGACUAGGAAUCCCUUUUAAAGUUUCUCUAAAUCACUUAAAGUCAUCUAUCCUUCGUCAUGAGAAGAUACCUGUUGGAACAGAAGUAAAGCCGCUCUUGACCCAGGAAGGGUUAAUAAUCACUGGAAAAGGCUUGCCAGCAAACUGUGACCCGGAGGUGAGAAGGCCGGUUAGCCAAUGACAGCAAUAUGAACAGAAGUUGUGAGAGGGAAGAUGUUAAAGAGAAAGAUACAAUGAUCGGCAAACAACUGAAGAAAAUAGCUGCCUCUCUCUCCAGUCAGAUCACCUAAAUUAGCCAAGUUGUUAAGAACUGCUUUUGUUGCUUUUUGUUUGCUUGCUGCUGUAGAAAUACAUCAGGACUAAUUCUGUGGAGUCUGUCUCCUUUGAAGUGACUGGCCACUGAUGUCUCCACUUCAUUUAUAUGUUUAAGUCUGGAUUCCUAUAAUGUGUCCUUCUGUAUGCAAAGCUUCAGAGUCAACCAGUGACUGGUCUUAAUUUUCACUGAAACUGGAAAAAAUAGGUGAUUUGCUGAGUGCUAAGAGGAAGUGAUGGUGUAUUUUGGUAAGAAACUUGAAAGCAGAGACAUUUUGAAGUAGACUUUUUUGGAGAAUGUAGGAAUAAGCUAAUUGAUAGAUGUGUCAACUAGAGUUGAGAUCUUCCUUUUUGAGCUCUAUGUACUGGCCCCAGUCUGCUGUGCUUGUCAUUUUUAUUUAGCAGUACCUGGCACUACAAUAUGCAGGCAGUAUGUGGCGGAUUCAUGAAUAAAGAAAAUACAUCGGUGAAA
rnacentral:lncRNA from 1 species